rfam:Ornithorhynchus anatinus chromosome X1, whole genome shotgun sequence.
GGCCCCAUGGUGUAAUGGUUAGCACUCUGGACUCUAAAUCGAGAGAUCAGAGUUCAAAUCUCAGUGAGACCU